rnacentral:lncRNA from 1 species
GUCAAGGUUCUUCAACUGCCCGAGUUAGCAAAGGCAAAAAGCAAAAAAGCCCUGAAGUCAGUUGGGGUGUCAAGCGUAAGCGUAAGUAAACCUCCCAGGUUUAAUGAACAAAUGUGGAAGAGAUUUUUACUCACUGUGAUAUUCAGGUGUUAAUUUAUUUAUCAUUUAGUCUGUUUUUGCCUUCCUUACCCGGUAUAACGAACUUUUGUAUAAUUUGUAAAUAUUAGAUUGUUGAAUUUUUGAGCGCAUAUCUUCAAAGUCGAAUUUGAAAAUUUUGAGUCCUAUUGCUUGUUAGUUGACAUUCAUUUUGUUGUUGUAUUUGGAGCUCAAAAAGUGGUUGGAGUAUUGAUUUUGUAAGAUUUGGGUGAUAAAAAGCCUAUUAGAAAGGGCCCCCAAGGCCUAGCUCAAGUGGCAAAAGGUGGAGGAUUUGUGGCUUAGGUCGCAGGUUCAAGCCCCAUUAUCCACCGAGUUUAGAAGGCUGUGAUUGGUCCAAAGGGCGGGGCACAGACGGAUUUCUCGGUUAUCAAAAAAAAAAAAAAGCCUAUUAGAAAGGGCCCCCAAGGCCUAGCUCAAGUGGCAAAAGGUGGAGGAUUUGUGGCUUAGGUCGCAGGUUCAAGCCCCAUUAUCCACCGAGUUGAGAAGGCUGUGAUUGGUCCAAAGGGCGGGUCACAGACGGAUUUCUCGGUUAUCAAAAAAAAAAAAAAAAGCCUAUUAGAAAGGUAACCCACCAUUGUUAAACAAGUUUGAAGGAAUGGAAUGAGUUUGAAUUUCAUUUUUUUUUUUGUGAGAAAUUUGGAGUCUUUAGACUCUUUGGCAGUAGUCUAAGGAGGUUGCUACAAAAUUUAAAGUCAUUUGAGGGAGAGGAGGAC